GACGAACGCUGGCGGCGUGCUUAACACAUGCAAGUCGAACGGAAAGGCCCUGCUUGCAGGGUACUCGAGUGGCGAACGGGUGAGUAACACGUGGGUGAUCUCCCCUGCACUUCGGGAUAAGCCUGGGAAACUGGGUCUAAUAUCGGAUAGGAGCCCUUUUUAGUGUGAUGGUUGGAAAGUUUUUUCGGUGUAGGAUGAGCUCGCGGGCUAUCAGCUUGUUGGUGGGGUAAUGGCCUACCAAGGCGGCGACGGGUAGCCGGCCUGAGAGGGUGGACGGCCACAUUGGGGCUGGGAUACGGCCCAGGCUCCUACGGGGGGCAGCAGGGGGGAAUAUUGCACAAUGGGCGCAAGCCUGAUGCAGCGACGGCGCGUGGGGGAUGACGGCCUUCGGGUUGUAAACUCCUUUCGCUAGGGACGAAGCUGUUUGUGACGGUACCUAGAUAAGAAGCACCGGCUAACUACGUG
rnacentral:rRNA from 1 species